rnacentral:rRNA from 1 species
UACGAAGGGGGCUAGCGUUGCUCGGAAUCACUGGGCGUAAAGCGCACGUAGGCGGAUCUUUAAGUCAGGGGUGAAAUCCCAAGGCUCAACCUUGGAACUGCCUUUGAUACUGGGGAUCUCGAGUCCGGAGGAGGUGAGUGGAACUGCGAGUGUAGAGGUGAAAUUCGUAGAUAUUCGCAAGAACACCAGUGGCGAAGGCGGCUCACUGGCCCGGAACUGACGCUGAGACGCGAAAGCGUGGGGAGCAAACAGG